UACAACUUUCAGCAACGGAUCUCUUGGCUCUCGCAUCGAUGAAGAACGCAGCGAAAUGCGAUAAGUAAUGUGAAUUGCAGAAUUCAGUGAAUCAUCGAAUCUUUGAACGCACCUUGCGCUCCUUGGUAUUCCGAGGAGCAUGCCUGUUUGAGUGUCAUA
rnacentral:rRNA from 1 species